UACGGAGGAUGCGAGCGUUAUCCGGAUUUAUUGGGUUUAAAGGGAGCGUAGGUGGGCUGUUAAGUCAGCUGUGAAAGUUUGCGGCUCAACCGUAAAAUUGCAGUUGAUACUGUCAGUCUUGAGUACAGUAGAGGUUAGCGGAAUUCGUGGUGUAGCGGUGAAAUGCUUAGAUAUCACGAAGAACUCCAAUUGCGAAGGCAGCUGACUAGACUGUUACUGACACUGAUGCUCGAAAGUGUGGGUAUCAAACAGGAUUAGAUACCCUGGUAGUCCACACAGUAAACGAUGAAUACUCGCUGUUUGCGAUAUACAGUAAGCGGCCAAGCGAAAGCGUUAAGUAUUCCACCUGGGGAGUACGCCGGCAACGGUGAAACUCAAAGGAAUUGACGGGGGCCCGCACAAGCGGAGGAACAUGUGGUUUAAUUCGAUGAUACGCGAGGAACCUUACCCGGGCUUAAAUUGCAAAUGAAUAUAGUCGAAAGAUUAUAGCCGCAAGGCAUUUGUGAAGGUGCUGCAUGGUUGUCGUCAGCUCGUGCCGUGAGGUGUCGGCUUAAGUGCCAUAACGAGCGCAACCCUUAUCUUUAGUUACUAACAGGUCAUGCUGAGGACUCUAGAGAGACUGCCGUCGUAAGAUGUGAGGAAGGUGGGGAUGACGUCAAAUCAGCACGGCCCUUACGUCCGGGGCUACACACGUGUUACAAUGGGAGGUACAACAGGCAGCUACACGGCGACGUGAUGCUAAUCCCCAAAACCUCUCUCAGUUCGGAUUGGAGUCUGCAACCCGACUCCAUGAAGCUGGAUUCGCUAGUAAUCGCGCAUCAGCCACGGCGCGGUGAAUACGUUCCCGGGCCU
rnacentral:rRNA from 1 species